GACGAACGCUGGCGGCGUGCCUAAUACAUGCAAGUCGAGCGAAGUUUUUCUGGUGCUUGCACUAGAAACACUUAGCGGCGAACGGGUGAGUAACACGUAAAGAACCUGCCUCAUAGACUGGGACAACUAUUGGAAACGAUAGCUAAUACCGGAUAACAGUAUUUCUCGCAUGAGAGAUAUUUAAAAGUUGGUUAUGCUAACACUAUGAGAUGGCUUUGCGGUGCAUUAGCUAGUUGGUGGGGUAAAGGCCCACCAAGGCGACGAUGCAUAGCCGACCUGAGAGAGUGAUCGGCCACACUGGGACUGAGACACGGCCCAGACUCCUACGGGAGGCAGCAGUAGGGAAUCUUCCGCAAUGGGCGAAAGCCUGACGGAGCAACGCCGCGUGAGUGAAGAAGGAUUUCGGUUCGUAAAGCUCUGUUGUUAGGGAAGAAUGGAUAUGUAGUAACUAUACAUGUAAGAGACGGUACCUAACCAGAAAGCCACGGCUAACUACGUG
rnacentral:rRNA from 1 species